rnacentral:rRNA from 1 species
UUAUUUGAGAGUUUGAUCCUGGCUCAGGAUGAACGCUGGCGGCGUGGAUAAGGCAUGCAAGUCGAGGGAUACUAAGGUCGCAAGACCGAGGUAGACCGGCAGACGGGUUAGUAACACGUGGGUGACAUACCUUCAAGACAGGGACAGCCUAGAGAAAUCUAGGGUAAUACCUGA